rnacentral:ribozyme from 1 species
CCUUCCUUUUUGCAUUCAGCUCAGCCGCUUUCUCUGUUUUCACACUUCGCAUCUCCCUUUGUUGCUGUGUGUGUGUGUGUGUGUGCGAAAAGAAAGGGGAGAGAGCGAGGCAGGGA